rnacentral:rRNA from 1 species
AUUGAACGCUAGCGGGAUGCCUUACACAUGCAAGUCGAACGGCGUGGCGAACGGGUGAGUAAUGUAUCGGAACGUGCCCAGUAGCGGGGGAUAACUACGCGAAAGCGUAGCUAAUACCGCAUACUAUUAGACCGGCCGAUAUCGGAUUAGCUAGUUGGUGGGGUAACGGCUCACCAAGUAGACGAACCGUAGCUGGUUUGAGAGGACGACCAGCCACACUGGGACUUAGACACGGCCCAGACUCCUACGGGAGGAAGCAGUGGGGAAUUGUGGACAAUGGGUGAAACCCUGAUCCAGCCAUCCCGCGUGUGUGAUGAAGGCCUUCGGGUUGUAAAGCACUUUUGGCAGGAAAGCGGUACCUGCAGAAUAAGCACCGGCUAACUACGUGCCAGCAGCCGCGGUAAUUC